rnacentral:rRNA from 1 species
UAACGCGUAGGUAACCUGCCUUGUAGCGGGGGAGUAACUAUUGGAAACGAUAGCUAAUACCGCAUAACAAAUGGAUGACCCACUGUCAAUUUUGUAAAAGGGGGACGAAAAUAGCUCCACUACAAGAUGGACCUGCGUUGUAUUAGCUAGUAGGUGAGGUAACGGCUCACCUAGGCGACGAUACAUAGCCGACCUGAGAGGGUGAUCGGCCACACUGGGACUGAGACACGGCCCAG